ACACUGUGACACUGUGACACUGCCAGGUGUGUGUGUGUGACACUGCCAGGUGUGUGUGUGACACUGCCAGGUGUGUGUGUGACACCUGAGAGAGCAACGGCGGCGCUACAGGUGAGGGACAGGUGACACUGUGACACUGCCAGGUGUGUGUGUGACACUGUGACACUGUGACACUGCCAGGUGUGUGUGUGUGACACCUGAGAGAGCAACGGCGGCGCUACAGGUGAGGCACAGGUGACACUGUGACACUGCCAGGUGUGUGUGUGACACUGUGACACCUGGGCGUGUGUGUGUGAUACUGCCAGGUGUGUGUGUGUGUGACACCCUCAGGUGUGUCCCAUUCCCCCAGCUGUCCCCAGGUGUGACCCAGGGGUGUCCCUGUCCCCAGGUGUGUCUGUGUGUCCCAGGUGUCCCCAGGUGUGUCUGUGUGUCCCAGGUGU